GUUGAGUUAGGAUAUGCAUGAGACCAUUAAAGCCCUCCUAAAAAUCAUAUUAAGUCGUAGUAUUAUGAACUAGUAGCAGAUUAAUUUCUUGAAUCGAUUAAUCAAUUGAUGUCUAAGGAGUGUUUCAAGUAUGGUGGUUCUUUAAUUGAUUUCGUUCGCUGAUCUACCAAUUUAUUAGUGUUUAAGAUGUUGGGUUUCAGUGACGUAG
rnacentral:lncRNA from 1 species